UACGUAGGGGGCAAGCGUUGUCCGGAUUUAUUGGGCGUAAAGAGCGUGUAGGCGGCCAUUCAGGUCAGCUGUGAAAACUCGAGGCUCAACCUCGAGACGUCGGUUGAAACCGUUUGGCUAGAGUCCGGAAGAGGAGAGUGGAAUUCCCGGUGUAGCGGUGAAAUGCGCAGAUAUCGGGAAGAACACCCGUGGCGAAGGCGGCUCUCUGGGACGGUACUGACGCUGAGACGCGAAAGCGUGGGGAGCAAACAGG
rnacentral:rRNA from 1 species